UGGGGAAUAUUGGACAAUGGGCGAAAGCCUGAUCCAGCCAUGCCGCGUGUGUGAAGAAGGUCUUCGGAUUGUAAAGCUCUUUAAGUUGGGAGGAAGGGCAGUAAGCGAAUACCUUGCUGUUUUGACGUUACCGACAGAAUAAGCACCGUCUAACUCUGUGCCAGCAGCCGCGGUAAUACUGAGGGUGCAAGCGUUAAUCGGAAUUACUGGGCGUAAAGCGCGCGUAGGUGGUUCGUUAAGUUGAAUGUGAAAGCCCCGGGCUCAACCUGGGAACUGCAUCCAAAACUGGCGAGCUAGAGUAGGGCAGAGGGUGGUGGAAUUUCCUGUGUAGCGGUGAAAUGCGUAGAUAUAGGAAGGAACACCAGUGGCGAAGGCGACCACCUGGGCUCAUACUGACACUGAGGUGCGAAAGCGUGGGGAGCAAACGGG
rnacentral:rRNA from 1 species